UGGGGUGUAGUUCAGUUGGGGAGCACUUGCCUGGUAAGUGCAAGGCCCUGGGUUCCACCCCCAGCACUUCGG
rnacentral:tRNA from 1 species